GCAGUCGAGCGGACCGAAGGGAGCUUGCUCCUUUAGGUUAGCGGCGGACGGGUGAGUAACACGUGGGCAACCUGCCCUGCAGACUGGGAUAACUUCGGGAAACCGGAGCUAAUACCGGAUAACACCGAAAACUGCAUGGUUUUCGGUUGAAAGGCGGCUUUUAGCUGUCACUGCAGGAUGGGCCCGCGGCGCAUUAGCUAGUUGGUGAGGUAACGGCUCACCAAGGCGACGAUGCGUAGCCGACCNGAGAGGGUGACCGGCCACACUGGGACUGAGACACGGCCCAGACUCCUACGGGAGGCAGCAGUAGGGAAUCUUCCGCAAUGGACGAAAGUCUGACGGAGCAACGCCGCGUGAGCGAAGAAGGUCUUCGGAUCGUAAAGCUCUGUUGUCAGGGAAGAACGAGUACCGUUCGAACAGGGCGGUACCUUGACGGUACCUGACGAGGAAGCCACGGCUAACUACGUGCCAGCAGCCGCGGUAAU
rnacentral:rRNA from 1 species